rnacentral:rRNA from 1 species
UGGGGAAUUUUUCGCAAUGGGGGAAACCCUGACGAAGCAAUGCCGCGUGGGUGAUGAAGUCUCUUGGGACGUAAAACCCUUUCGACGGGGACGAAACCGCAAGGUUGACGGUACCCGUAGAAGAAGCCCCGGCUAACUCCGUGCCAGCAGCCGCGGUAAUACGGGGGGGGCAAGCGUUGUUCGGAAUUACUGGGCGUAAAGGGUGCGUAGGCGGCUCUCUAAGUCGGAUGUGAAAACUCUGGGCUCAACCCAGAGACUGCAUCCGAAACUGGAGGGCUAGGGUUCUGGAGGGGAAAGCGGAAUUCCUGGUGUAGCGGUGAAAUGCGUAGAUAUCAGGAGGAACACCGGUGGCGAAGGCGGCUUUCUGGACAGACACCGACGCUGAGGCACGAAAGCUAGGGGAGCAAACAG